GUACACUCCUGCGGGAGGCAGCAGUGGGGAAUAUUGAACAAUGGGCGCAAGCCUGAUCCAGCCAUGCCGCGUGAGUGAUGAAGGCCCUAGGGUUGUAAAGCUCUUUCACCGGUGAAGAUAAUGACGGUAACCGGAGAAGAAGCCCCGGCUAACUUCGUGCCAGCAGCCGCGGUAAUACGAAGGGGGCUAGCGUUGUUCGGAUUUACUGGGCGUAAAGCGCACGUAGGCGGACUAUUAAGUCAGGGGUGAAAUCCCGGGGCUCAACCCCGGAACUGCCUUUGAUACUGGUAGUCUUGAGUUCGAGAGAGGUGAGUGGAAUUCCGAGUGUAGAGGUGAAAUUCGUAGAUAUUCGGAGGAACACCAGUGGCGAAGGCGGCUCACUGGCUCGAUACUGACGCUGAGGUGCGAAAGCGUGGGGAGCAAACAGGAUUAGAUACCCGUGUAGUCCCAUGA
rnacentral:rRNA from 1 species